AUGCUCAACGUACAGGGCUCAGACAUGCUCACUGUUAACUGGACCGUUAUGAGGAGAGCCAGUUUUUCUCAAUGCGAUGGCAGCCAGGGAUACGCAAUAUGCUGGAGGUCAGUUAUGUUCAACAUGACCUGGAGCAGGUGUGUUCUGUGUGAGCUGGCCCUGGUAUGCUCGAUGGGAUGGGGGCCAGGUGUGCCCAAGCACUCGCUGGGGCCUGAAGCCACCACAGCAGCCAAGGGAGUGUCCCGUGAACACUCAGCAUCAGAGGACGGACAGGAGCUGGUGACCUGGAGCGCUGUUCGGGGUCUUCCAGGGUCUUCUAUUCAAACAGUUCCAGGAGCGACAGGAGGAUCCGAAUGGCUCGUCGGAAAGGUGAAGCCACAGAGCCCUGGAGCUUCCAGGCACUCUGCCAGCCAGGGAAGUGUGUUUUCUGGAAAGAAGUCAACUGCCAGAGACUGCUCUAACCACACGGGGAGGGGAGGAGCUGCGGGCUCGGCCCAGGUGCCCAGGGACUGCCUCCUGCCAGCCCUGCCCUCUGCACAUCUUUGGAUGAGAUGAGACCCGUGAAACAGGAAUCGUUCUCUCCGUUUCAAAGACUGGAGAGUAGAGGCACACAAGCGAGUAGACAGAGCACCCCACAGCGCUGAGCUGGAGCCCCACAGAGAAGGGACGAGCUCCAGGCCCAGCCCUCUCCAAAGCUGGGUUGUUGCGGCCACACCAUGCUGUUGUCGGAAGAAGGAAGGGGACAGCGAGUGGAAGAGAAAGGACCACACCAACCCCAGCUCCUUCAGUACCGCCUGGCCACGUGCAGCGGGAUGCACAUCUUUAAAAUGAACACAAGACCUGCAUAAAAAGUCAUGGCUGGCAGUGUGGACGUU
rnacentral:lncRNA from 1 species